GAGUGAGCAUUUGCGCUUGAGGAGAAAGGGACAAGUGGAAAUGUUUGACCGGUCUGCCUCUCUUUUCGAGCGAGAUGAGAAAGAGAGACAGACCGGUCGAACAUUUUUAUCUCUCUUUUUUUUUUAAUAUGUGCACCCUACCUCUUCUCUUCAAUGCUCGCUCUAUACUCUCUACGAUCCUGAUACUCGUCAGCGUGGACACACCAUGGUACAGCGGUAGUGUUUCCAGUCGAUAAGGCAGCUUCCGAGAGGCGCGGCUGCUCACUACCCUGGUCGAUUCAAGGACCCCGGUUCUCGUUGUCUUUCUCAGUCAACGGUUCUCUUCCCGUUUCUCUCUCUCUCUUUUUUUUUUUUCAAAACGCGAAAACGCGGGAUUACCUCUCGAAGGUAGUGAAAACCGUUUUCGCGGGAUUGGCUUGUCCCGCGGGAAGAACACUCGAAUCGCCAAGGAUCAUGAAAUCACGGCGAGUGACAGAGGCCGUUCCGUUAUCGGGACGCAUCUACGUUGUGCCUAUAACCCGCAAAAUGGCCGGAGCGCGUCCGUGGAUAUUCCUGCGCGUUAUCGUCGCGCAGUGACCUCUCGUCGAGGAAUAACAUCGCGUGUCGCUCACAUUAAUCCGGAAAACGGGGAUCCGCUGGCGGCCGGUCGCCGUCCGGAUGCGCACCGAAAAUUCUGUCGUUCAUCAUCGAUCGCGACAAAUGCGACGGGCUGCCAGAUCGAAAGUCGGAACUGGAAGAAGGUCGUAGGUUGUAACAUAGUUUCGGUGGAGGUCGGAUGUGUCUGCUCGUCAUUCGUGCAAGAUCGAUACUCGAAUAGGCAGAGGAUUCGCGAAGGGCAAGUUUCAUUCCGGUCGGCUGACAGGUUCGCGAGAAACCGACUGGAAACGAUCCUUUGACUGGCCAAUACAAGGUUACGUAAAAAAAAAAAUUCGGGGUUUCGUCGAGACUUUUUUUUUUAACGAUCGUUACGCGGCAUAUCUCGAUACCCUUCGUGACGCGUGUUUCGAUACUUUGCUGCCAAGUAAUCAAAGAUUAAAAGGCAGCGACCACCUUCUCCCUGUUCAUCGUAGUUUAUUUAUCCUCUUCUAUUAAUUCCCCCCCGCGCCCACAAUAACCGCGCCACGGCCAUUUACUGAGUAAUGAAUCGGCCCUGUUUCCAUUUACGACUUAGCACACGGAAUUGGAGCGACGCUGCGAAGGGGUGGCGGACAACGGGGUCGAUGAAAAGGUUAACGUUAGGUUGAGGUCGAUCGUAAGCCUUCUGUCACUACUCUCUUUUCCUUCUUUCUCUGUUAAUUAUCUUCUACCCGACGUGAAAGAAGUAGCGUCCGUUGAACGUAAUCUUCGGACUUGGUUUUCAUUCCGUUCAAAAUUCACAGUUUAUUUAUUCUCGCUUUGAUCAGGGGGGAAAAAAAGAGAACAAAUCCGAACAUCUCAUCAGACAUUGUAAACAACGAACGAUACGGAUUAUCGAUACAGAUUCUGGUGAAACCGAAGCGGCAAAGUAGAUUGCUUUUCCAUUUAGGUGUAACACGUUUCAUCGUGUGAUCGGUUUUUAAUUAUUCUAAUAAUAUCGUGGAAAAAGAGAAUUAAAAUAGUUCUCGUCGUCAAGUCAGAAACAUCAUUUGGCUGACAUCAGCUAAUUUGAUCCAGUUUUUCUCGAAUGAGGAUAUAUUGGAUAAUAUCGAUUUACACUUUCACCUUAUAUUGAGAUUCGACCAAGUUUUCUUCAAUUAUAUACGAUACAAAAAUAUCAUUGCUCUGUAUAUUCGAUCGAAUUAAACUUUAAAGAAUAUUUUCUAAUCUGUUUGACGAGACUUCAUCUGGAAUAAGAAGAAGAAAAGUCUUGCUCGUAAACUUGAAUAUCCGCGCAAAUUGUUUCAACUUCUCUGAUGAAAGUUCAACGAAGGAGAAAUACUGUCUUCCAUCAGCGAUUUUGCUCCGUAUAAUCCGUAACAUCAGCCGUAUUCUUUGUACGAUAUUCUUACAUUGCGAUAAUUUAGAAGCUGCCUUGCCGGAUGCGCAUCUGCAGCACUCUUAUCUUUUAUUCACUACCUUCAAAGUGCACCAUCGUGUGUUUCGAAGGCCAUAAUCGGGGCAAAAGAACGAGGAUAAGAUCACGAGAUAAGAUCGGAUCUCGUCUCCAAUCUUAUUCGGUAGUUUCCGCGGCCUUUGCUUCACAAAUGAAGAGUUUCAAAGCCAGUGCAUAUUCGGCAUAAUGGGACGUCUAGCUGGAAAACAUGGACGAAUUUAUUUCAGAAGACGAAGAAGUGUUCUCGCCCGCGAACGACCAAACGAAUAGUGGCCGGACGCUUCGCUAUUCCCUUUGGGGUUUGACUAGCUGUCGCAUUAGCCGGGUAAGGCGUGUCAACGGGUCGAAAGAGCAACAAGCCCCUAUCAACAAGACUGCUCCGCGUCGAGUCACGUUGAUAAAACUACUGAGGUUGGAUUUCGCAUGGUUGCUAGUGGUGAUGCGGUGGUGGUCGUGCGCUCGCCGUGGGGAGGGACACAAGUGUGGGGAAUACGAACGGAGGACCGGUGGACGUUGGGGUGGGUUUGUCGUGCAACCCUCCCGGUCCCCGCGCAGGUGACUCAGGGCACCGCCGCCAGGCGGCAGCACUGCCUCCGACCGAAGAGAAACGCAACUCGAAGCGGCACCAGGAAACGAAUUGCCGCUUACGCUGGCAGAGGGUUACUCGCGGGGCGAUCCACGGAUGUCCCUUGGCAAAGAGAGAGAAAGAGAGAGAGCAUAAUCCACCAAAGGAAGAGAAAGAAAAGAUGCGGGGAGAAAGCUCGGAGUGCCUUGCCAGCGCGGAGGAACGUGGUCCACGGGAAAAAAGAGGGAGAGAAGGGGAAAGGACUCGCCAUGUUUAAAUCCCCUUUAUAACGCUAACCCCUUUGAAACCGGCCAUUCAUCUGGACAAUCGCUACAGACUGAUGAGACACGAACCGAUGCUGGAUGCCGACGGUAACAGGACCAAUGUGAUUGGAGAGGAUUGUUAAUCGAGAAGAGAUGGAAG
rnacentral:misc_RNA from 1 species